rnacentral:rRNA from 1 species
CUUCCGUAGGGUGACCUGCGGAAGGAUCAUUACCGAGUGCGGGUCCUUUGGGCCCAACCUCCCAUCCGUGUCUAUUGUACCCUGUUGCUUCGGCGGGCCCGCCGCUUGUCGGCCGCCGGGGGGGCGCCUCUGCCCCCCGGGCCCGUGCCCGCCGGAGACCCCAACACGAACACUGUCUGAAAGCGUGCAGUCUGAGUUGAUUGAAUGCAAUCAGUUAAAACUUUCAACAAUGGAUCUCUUGGUUCCGGCAUCGAUGAAGAACGCAGCGAAAUGCGAUAACUAAUGUGAAUUGCAGAAUUCAGUGAAUCAUCGAGUCUUUGAACGCACAUUGCGCCCCCUGGUAUUCCGGGGGGCAUGCCUGUCCGAGCGUCAUUGCUGCCCUCAAGCCCGGCUUGUGUGUUGGGUCGCCGUCCCCCUCUCCGGGGGGACGGGCCCGAAAGGCAGCGGCGGCACCGCGUCCGAUCCUCGAGCGUAUGGGGCUUUGUCACAUGCUCUGUAGGAUUGGCCGGCGCCUGCCGACGUUUUCCAACCAUUCUUUCCAGGUUGACCUCGGAUCAGGUAGGGAUACCCGCUGAACUUAAGCAUAUCAAUAAGCGGAGGUCAUUA